UGGUAAUGCCGGAUGCUCCGGUUGGAUGCAUGUCCUUCCGGGAAAGGUUCCAUCGGUAUGGGAUGGGGUCGCGUCCUAUCAGCUUGAUGGCGGGGUAACGGCCCACCAUGGCUUCGACGGGUAGCCGGCCUGAGAGGGCGACCGGCCACAUUGGGACUGAGAUACGGCCCAGACUCCUACGGGAGGCAGCAGUGGGGAAUAUUGCACAAUGGGCGCAAGCCUGAUGCAGCGACGCCGCGUGCGGGAUGGAGGCCUUCGGGUUGUAAACCGCUUUUGAUCGGGAGCAAGCCCUUCGGGGUGAGUGUACCUUUCGAAUAAGCACCGGCUAACUACGUGCCAGCAGCCGCGGUAAUACGUAGGGUGCAAGCGUUAUCCGGAAUUAUUGGGCGUAAAGGGCUCGUAGGCGGUUCGUCGCGUCCGGUGUGAAAGCCCAUCGCUUAACGGUGGGUCUGCGCCGGGUACGGGCGGGCUGGAGUGCGGUAGGGGAGACUGGAAUUCCCGGUGUAACGGUGGAAUGUGUAGAUAUCGGGA
rnacentral:rRNA from 1 species